CAGUAGUGUUUAUCAUCCGGGAAAAAGCACCAACUGUUGGUUGAGUGCCAGCUGUUUGUCUAGCACUGUUCUUCAUUUGAUGUGUAUUGAGAAGCUUUCUCUCCCUGGCCCUGGCUUCACUGGAGUUGGACUCCGUACUACACAGAGAAUAUGCCAGCUUAUGGCAGAAGGUGCGCUAAUGAGCCCAAGCUGAAGUUUCGAGUAAGCAGAAUCCAGGCGAAGAGGAACAAGAUCUUCAGAGUCAAGUAGUUCCUCUGGCCAAAGCCCCACCUUGGGCCCACCAGCUAUCACCUGGUCUGUUUGCUGAAAAUUCUGUCAGUGACCCCAUGAUGCGGAAUCUGCUUGCUACAUCUGGAGGCAAGAAAAGCUCCAGCC